rnacentral:ribozyme from 1 species
UUUUUUUUUUUUUUUUUUUUUUUUUUUUUUUUUUUUUUUUUGAACUCAAGAAUUUUAUGGA